rnacentral:misc_RNA from 1 species
AAGUCGUAACAAGGUUUCCGUAGGUGAACCUGCGGAAGGAUCAUUACCAAAUCCAAAAAAUACCCAACCCCAUGUAUUUGUCCUUCGGGGGAAGACAGAAAAGCUAUUAAAAAAAGGUUAGAAAGCGGUUUUUUAAAUAAAACUCGUCCUCUUCCUUUUUUUUUAGCGCUAUUUUCCCCCAAAAGAAUCCAUAAAACAUUUUUCGCGGUGUUUAUGUGAUUCUUUGAUAAACCACAGAAUUCAUUGUUUUGGAAUAAAUUUUUAAAAUUUUUUAAAUUUUAAAGACAACUUUUAACGGUGGAUCUCUUGGCUCGUG